UACGUAGGGGGCCAGCGUUGUCCGGAAUCAUUGGGCGUAAAGCGCGCGUAGGCGGUCGGGUAAGUCCGGUGUGAAAGUCAAAGGCUCAACCUUUGAAUGCCGCUGGAUACUGCUUGACUUGAGUCCGGAAGGGGCGAGUGGAAUUCCUGGUGUAGCGGUGAAAUGCGCAGAUAUCUGGAGGAACACCGGUGGCGAAGGCGGCAUCCUGGACCGGUAUUGACGCUGAGGCGCGAAAGCCAGGGGAGCAAACGGG
rnacentral:rRNA from 1 species